CCGGCUCCUUCCCCUUCGAUGCAGAGGUACCUGAAAACAAAACUGUAAACGUAAGCACAAAGCUUAGUGAGUUCCCCCAACGUACCGCAUACCAUACAAACACAUAACAUAUAUAUAUACUGCCAGGCUAUUCUGGGGUGCCUGACUACCCGGUACGGCCAUUCUGGGGUGCCGACCUACCCAUACGGCCAUUCUGGGGUGCCGUCUUACCCGUGUCAAGCCAUUCUGGGGUGCUGACUACCCAUCGGUCCUAACAACCGAUCCUCGGGGACUAUUUCACCCCUACUACUACGAUCACAUAUAACAUAACAAGCCAACAUGCAUACAUAUCGUCACAUACUGUCAGACGUAUCUGGGGUGUCUGACUACCCUUCGGUCCGAACAACCAAACUCUACUACUAUCACAUACAGCAUAUCAUGCUAGCAUAUAACAUGUCAGGUACUAGCGAACUUAGAUGAUAUCACAAAGACAAUCAUCUAUCAUACAACUCCUACUGGUGGGUCGGCAUUGUGGCCUUAGACCCACCGCUACUGGAAGGUAACUCACCUCAAAGUAGCUGCUGAACUGAUCGGGAACUAACUGACUGCUGCUGCUCCGGGAGUCCUCCGGCUGCAAUUUCCACGACAUACUCAAUCAAACACUGCUAACUGUCCUUUAGGUAAAAUGACCAUUUUACCCCUGGAUUAACUCUAAGCCAAAGCUGGAGUCAACUUUCAGUUGACCCGACUCGCCGAGUGGAUCACCACUCGCCGAGUCCCUAGCAAACCAAUGUCCUGGGUCCCUGGUUCUACUCGUCGAGUCGGGCUAUGACUCGACGAGUUCACCUUCUAACUGCCAUUCAACACCUUCAUCCUACUCGCCGAGUUGUAUGAACAACUCGUCGAGUUCAUCUUCAUCCGAUGAACACUUUAUGCUAAGACUCGCCGAGUUGUAUGAACAACUCGCCGAGUCUGUUCUUGAGCUAUGAAGAUUGCCUUGGACUCGCCGAGUCAGGGCAUUGACUCGCCGAGUCCUAACAUGGGUGAGUUCAGCUCCCAACUCACCGAGUCACCCCCUGUGACUCAAGGCUCAACUCGACACAUGAAGAAGGGACCAAUUCGGUGACUCGCGACCAGACUCGCCGAGUCACCUAUGCGACUCGCCGAGUCGUCGCCAUGCACUCCUUAAAUAUACCGAUUUGCUCGGUUCCAGACCAUGCCAUUCAUAGAUCUGGACUUCUAGGACACGAAUCACACGUAAAGUUUCCAACUUUACGUGUGGAUAUUCACCAAUAUGGAUUAUAAGGCUCAAAAUGUCUCAAAAUGGUAGAUCUAGGGCUAACAAGCCUCAUGAGGCCAAAAAGCUAACAGAUCUGAGCUCCUGGAGCUCAAUCUUACAUAGAUCCAAAGGCCAAACGCCUUAUUACAACAUAUAAUGAACAUGCAAACUUGGGGAAUUGACCAAGAAGGACCCAAAUGAAGUUUUAAGCAUAGAAUCAAGGGGAAAACGGGUUAUACCUCAAAGGAAAUGUUGAAAUGACACAAGGAUGGCUGAUCUCCUUCUCCUCUUCUUGAUCUACUCCUCUUACUCUUCAAAACCUUCAAGAACACACCAAGAACACCUCAAACUCUCAAGAAAACAAGGGAAAACGAUGUAGGGGGAGUUCUGGGGGUGAAUGGGGACGAGUUGGGGCGGAAUGAGAGUUUAAAUAGGGUGCAAACCCUUGAAACUUAGGGUUUCAUCCCGCAGCGGUGACUCGCCGAGUCCAGGAUAUGGACUCGUCGAGUCGCCUACUUAAAACGCGUCCUGAGUCUCGUCCCUACUCGGCGAGUCGGACCCUAUGACUCGCCGAGUCUAAGGCUAAAUUAGGGCAAUGCUCAAAUAAAAUUCACAUACCGGAAACCAGGUGCUACACAUCUCCCCCACUUAUUUUAGACUUCGUCCUCGAAGUCUGCUGCCUGAUCCUGAAACAGCUCGGGGUAGUGCUCCAUCAUCUCGUCUACCGGCUCCCAAGUCCACUCUGAACCCUUGCGGUGCUGCCAUUGCACCUUCACUAGCUCCACCCUCUUGUUCCUUAAAUCCUUCGACUUCCUGUCGAGGAUUGCGACUGGGCGCUCGAUGUAGUUCAGGCUGUCAUCAACCUGAAUAUCCUCCAAAGGUACUACUGCAGAAUCGUCCACUAGGCACUUCCGCAACUGCGAAACAUGGAAAGUGCUGUGGAUCUGGCUAAGCUCGGCUGGCAGAUCCAGCCUAUAUGCUACCUUGCCCACCCGGGCUAAGACCCUGAACGGUCCGAUGAAUCGCGGGCCCAACUUGCCCCGCUUCCUGAAUCGGAUGACGCCUUUCCACGGCGACACCUUCAGGAGGACCAUAUCCCCGACCUGGAACUCUAAAUCGGAUCGACGCUUGUCGGCAUAACUUUUCUGUCGACUCUGAGCAGUCUGAAGCCUGCUCCGGACCUGCUGUAUCCUCUCAGUCGUCUUGAGCACCACUUCGGUGCUUCCCAUAACUCUCUGGCCAACCUCACCCCAGCAUAUCGGGGUCCUACACCUCCGUCCGUACAACAUCUCGAAGGGAGGGCGGUCGAUACUCGCGUGAUAGCUGUUGUUGUAGGAGAACUCAGCCAAAGGAAGAUAGGUAUCCCAGCUACCACCGAAAUCCAGAACACACGCCCGCAACAUGUCCUCCAAAGUCUGGAUGGUCCGCUCACUCUGUCCAUCUGUCUGCGGGUGAAAGGCGGUGCUGAAAUGCAGACGAGUGCCCAACUCGUCAUGGAAUCUCUUCCAAAACCUGGAAGUAAAACGCACAUCCCUGUCCGAGAUCACCGAUACUGGCACCCCAUGCCGUGCCACAAUCUCCCUGAUAUAGAUGUCGGCCAAUUUCUCGGCCGAUAUGCUCUCCGGAAUCGGAAUAAAGUGAGCACUCUUGGUCAAUCUAUCCACGAUGACCCAAAUCGAAUCCACUCCACGCGCGGUCCUGGGAAGCUUCGUGAUAAAAUCCAUCGUGAUAUCUUCCCACUUCCACAGUGGAAUGUCCAACGGCUGCAUCUUGCCAUGCGGCCUCUGAUGUUCGGCCUUGACCUUCCUGCAGGUCAAGCACCGCUCGACGUACCAUGCCACAUCCCGCUUCAUGCAGGGCCACCAAUAGUCUAGACGAAGAUCCCUAUACAUCUUCGUCGCCCCGGGAUGAAUAGAGAAUCGGGACUUGUGCGCCUCCUCCAUCAAAAUCUGGCGCACGCCCCCGUGAUACGGCACCCACACCCUAUGGUGUAGUGUCAAUAACCCUCGGCUAUCAUAAUCGAAGGAGGAAACCUGACCUACUACGCGCUCGUUCUUCCGAUGCUCCUCCUUGAUAGCCUCCUGUUGAGCUUCCCGAAUCUGCUCCAACAGGGGAGUCACCACAGUCAUCCUCAAACAGGCGUCCCUGAUCGGCGCCGUCUUGCGGCUAAGCGCAUCGGCCACCACAUUGGCCUUUCCCGGGUGGUAAAGGAUCUCGCAAUCAUAAUCCUUCACCACAUCCAACCACCGACGCUGCCUCAUGUUCAGAUUCGGCUGGUCCAUGAGGUACCUCAAGCUCUUGUGGUCCGUGUAGAUGGUACACCGAACCCCAUAGAGGUAAUGUCGCCAAAUCUUGAGGGCAAAUACCACCGCCCCCAACUCCAAAUCGUGCGUCGGGUAGUUCGCCUCGUGAGGCUUGAGCUGCCUCGAAGCGUAAGCAAUGACAUGCCCCCUUUGCAUCAGCACCGCGCCCAACCCAGAAAUGGACGCAUCGCAAUAAACCACGAAAUCCUCUACGCCCUCUGGCAGGGCUAAGAUCGGCGCCUCACACAAUCUCUGUCUCAGCGUCUCAAAUGCAGCCUGCUGCUCGGGUCCCCACCGAAAGACCACGGCUUUCUUCGUCAGCCGCGUCAGGGGCACGGCUAUCUUGGAGAAAUCCUGGAUAAAUCUCCGAUAGUAGCCUGCCAAUCCUAGGAAGCUCCGAAUCUCAGAUGGGGACUUCGGAACCUCCCAUCUCAUCACGGCCUCGACCUUGGCCGGAUCGACCAGAAUCCCGUUCUGGUUGACGAGGUGCCCCAGAAAUUGCACCUCGCGCAACCAAAACUCACACUUGGAGAACUUGGCAUACAAGCUCUCCCUCCUCAGGGUCUCUAACACCUCUCUCAAAUGCUCCUCAUGUUCCUCCCGGGUCUUGGAAUAAACCAAGAUAUCAUCGAUAAAGACUAUCACAGACCGGUCCAGCAUCGGUCUGCAUACACGGUUCAUGAGGUCCAUGAACGCGGCAGGAGCAUUGGUGAGCCCAAACGGCAUCACCACAAACUCGUAAUGGCCAUAGCGCGUCCGAAACGCGGUCUUCUGCAUAUCCUCCUCCCUGACCCUCAUCUGAUGAUAACCCGAACGCAAAUCAAUCUUGGAGAACCAAGAUGCGCCCUGAAGCUGGUCAAAGAGGUCAUCAAUCCUCGGAAGCGGGUAACGGUUCUUCACCGUUACCUUGUUCAGCUCCCGAUAAUCUAUACACAUCCGAUGCGACCCAUCCUUCUUCUUCACAAACAGAAUCGGGGCUCCCCAGGGCGAACUGCUCGGCCGAAUAAAUCCCUUGUCCAGCAGCUCCUGCAGCUGCGUAGACAACUCCUGCAUCUCGGGAGGAGCCAACCGAUACGGUGCUUUGGCUAUCGGAGCCGCACCGGGAACGAGGUCAAUCCUGAACUCCACCUGUCGCUCCGGAGGUAUCCCAGGUAGUUCCUCCGGAAAAACAUCAGCAAAAUCUCGAACCACCGGGACCUCGCUCACGGUCGCCUUACCCGCCUCCCGGGUGUCCAUCACGUACGCGACAUAACCCGCGCAUCCCUGCUGAAGGUAGCGCCUAGCCCUCGCUGCUGAACAUACAGUGGGUCCACACUGCGGCCGCUCUCCAUGAAUCACUAACUCUCCCCCGCUUGGGGUCUUGACUCGCACUAGCUGCUGUGCGCAAUCUAUCACUGCCCCAUUAGGGCUCAACCAAUCCAUACCAAUAAUCACCUUGUUCCCACGCAAUGGAAUGGGAACCAAGUCUACCAGGUAACACUCCUCAAACAGUCGCAGGACACAAUCUCGAAACACCAUCGAUGCUCGCACCGAUCGAUCAUCGGCAAUCUCUACCUCUAACGGGCAAUCUAACUCGCCUGAAGUCUCAUGAAAUCUCUUGCUAAGAGCAAGAGAAACGAACGAUCGGGAUGCACCCGAGUCGAACAAUACCUGAACCGGGAUGCCGUUCACAUGGAACGAUCCUAAUACACAUGUAUACACACGGAGCACAUAUCAAUAUCAUAACAACGUAAAAUAAAAGAUAGAAGGAAGGAAUCAUACCCGUCACCACAUCGGGCGCGGCGCGUGCCUCCUCGGCAGUCAACUGAAAUGCCCGACUCCUCACCACUGGAGCCUCUGCCUUGCCCUGACGGCCAUCCGUGAUCCGCAGGGUCGCUGGAGCUGGCGCCUUCACUGGCGCUGAAGCUGUCAACAUGGGGCAAUUGGCCUUCUUGUGGCCCCUCUGGUUGCAGUGGAAACACAGCAACUCCGAUGUCUGAAUAACGGUCGCAGGAGCAGUGCAAUCCCUGCUGAUAUGCCCAAACUUGCCGCACUUGUAGCAGCCUGACGAUCCCAUCCUGCACGCCCCCUCGUGCGGCCUGCCGCACCUCCUGCAGCGGCUCGGUCCCGACUGGCCUUUCGGCCUCCCAUCUGAUCCCUUGGGCUUCUUCCCCGAAGCCCCCGAUGACUGACCAUCCUCAAGUUUCCGUUUCCGGAUGUGCUCCAAAUCUAUCUCUCUCUCCCUAGCCCUGGCAAUCAUGGAGUCCAGGGUAGGGCAAGCCGAAAAGCUAACAUGCUCCCGAAUGUCAGCUCGUAGCAUGUCGUGGUAACGAGUCCUCCUCAUAUCCUCGUCACCUGCAUACUGGGGCACCAAUAAAGCCCUCUCCCGAAACUUGGCGGUGAUCUCCGCCACGGUCUCUGUCGUCUGCCUCAUGUCUAAGAACUCCCUGGCCAGCUGCUGAAGCUCGACCGCUGGCGCAAACUCUGCCCUGAACCUAGUCACAAAGUCCGACCAGGUCAUUGCCUCGACAGCCGAGGCUCCCAUCGAGUCACCCACUGACUCCCACCAAUCUCGGGCCCGGUCCCGUAAACACCCUGCUGCGUACCUCACCUUCGACCCCUCGGGGCAGAAGCUGAUCAACUGGGCGGACUCGAUAUCCGCAAUCCACCGCCUGGCGACAAUGGGGUCCUUCACCCCAUGGAAAUCCGGCGCACCACUGCUCCUGAAGUCCUUGAAGGACAGUGUGCGAGAUCCUGACUGGCUAGAGGCCAAGUCGCUCCUGAAUGCCCGUAGGCGAUCCUCCAUCAUCUCCACGAUCCCUUCCUUGAUCGACCCAAAGAUGAUGGGGGUCGACUCAAGGAUGCCCCUAGUGAUCUCCGACGUGAUGAACUCACGUAGCCUCUCCUCAAUCGGCUCGGUGCCAGAUCCCGAACCUGACCCCUCUCCUGACCCGCCAUCUGUCGGUCUCGGUCGAAGUACCACCAUUCUGCAAAACAUCAAUAAUAAUCAUUAGUGGUACUGCUACUUUCUGAGGGAUCUCAACUACUUACAGGUUCCUUGGUCUCGUCUUGGCCUUCCUCGGCUCGGGUACGGAUCCUCUGCUUUCAGUAGUACGGGCCCAUACUACCUUCCACAUCUAUCCGUACCUUCUCCGAGGAAUUCCUCGACUCCACCAACUCCCCUCUACUACUGCUACUCUCCGAUAUUCUCACCCUAGGCUUGCCCUAGGGAGAACUCAAGUUCAACACAACUGGUCCUCAGCUGCUGUAGGUCUCCUCAUAAUGCCAGUUAGCCACCACCUAAACACCAUCACAUGUAAUGAGGAUUAGAUAAUCCUUCAAGUAAAAGAUCCGUCCCUACAACGGUUGGACUCAAACAAGAGCUGCGCAAUAGGGCCAGUUCCAACACUUUGGGAUUAUUCAACCCUGAUUACAUGUGGUGUGACGUGUUUACCUAGUGGCUCACUCCCAUUACUCAGAAUCCCACCGAGCACGAAGCAAGCAGCAUUCGGAUAAGGAAAAACAGACUCAAGCCAAAACUGUUCUUAGAACAAGAAACGACACUUAACAUAGGAUGCUAAGCUCAUACUAUCAGGCAUAACCUAAACAGGCUACCCUACUGCUGUCUACUCAAUUCUAGCAUGCAAUAUUCAAUAAGCUGGAACAAAUAAACAGGCACAUAAGGCAUCACUCCUAGAUCCUUAGCCUAUUCUAGCAUGCAAUAUUCAUAAAGCUGAUAAACAUAACAUAAACUUGUAUGGGUACUAUGGGGAAUACUUACUUGAGCUCGGCCGGUCGCGCACGUCACACACUUUACUCUUUCUCGUGACUCUUUUCCGGGUUUUAAAGAAUAAUUUCUUUUGGAAAAAUCUUUCAAUCCCUCGGUUUGAGUCCAAACACUCCCGAAGGCGUGUCCGAAUCCCUCAAACCAGGGCUCUGAUACCAACUUGUAACGACCCAAAUUUUAUUUUUUUUUUUUUUUGAUAUUACUUUAGAAAACAUUAAUAAAUAAAAACAUUGUCUAAAUAAAAAGAAACAUUGUUUGUUCACACCAUAACACAUUGCAACCAUGUUCUCAAAAGCCAAACCGUACAUCCCAUCAAAUAUCAGAGUACAAUCCCAGUAAAUCUCAUAAAUGCGGAAACCGAAGAGUGUGUGUAUGACGUGCCGCUACCGCGCCGGCUCCUUCCCCUUCGAUGCAGAGGUACCUGAAAACAAAACUGUAAACGUAAGCACAAAGCUUAGUGAGUUCCCCCAACGUACCGCAUACCAUACAAACACAUAACAUAUAUACUGCCAGGCUAUUCUGGGGUGCCUGACUACCCGGUACGGCCAUUCUGGGGUGCCGACCUACCCAUACGGCCAUUCUGGGGUGCCGUCUUACCCGUGUCAAGCCAUUCUGGGGUGCUGACUACCCAUCGGUCCUAACAACCGAUCCUCGGGGACUAUUUCACCCCUACUACUACGAUCACAUAUAACAUAACAAGCCAGCAUGCAUACAUAUCGUCACAUACUGUCAGACGUAUCUGGGGUGUCUGACUACCCUUCGGUCCGAACAACCAAACUCUACUACUAUCACAUACAGCAUAUCAUGCUAGCAUAUAACAUGUCAGGUACUAGCGAACUUAGAUGAUAUCACAAAGACAAUCAUCUAUCAUACAACUCCUACUGGUGGGUCGGCAUUGUGGCCUUAGACCCACCGCUACUGGAAGGUAACUCACCUCAAAGUAGCUGCUGAACUGAUCGGGAACUAACUGACUGCUGCUGCUCCGGGAGUCCUCCGGCUG
rnacentral:lncRNA from 1 species